ACUCGAAGCAUCUGGGGAUCUUGUUAAAUUGCAGAUUUAGAUUCAGUGGGUCUGGGGUGGGCAUUUCUAACAAGCUCCCAGAUGCUGCUCCU
rnacentral:pre_miRNA from 1 species